rnacentral:ncRNA from 1 species
UAUGCAUGAUACUUAUGAUGAAACUACUUCUAUGCUUGACAGGUGUAUAGAACUAGCAAAGUGGUUUAGGAAAGGGCAUAUGAAUAGGCAGUUUGGCAAGUGCUUAGCUGGUCUUUUCGGAUGAUCAGCCACACUGGGACUGAAACACGGCCCGGACUCCCAUGGGGGGCAACAGUGGGGAAUCUUGGACAAUGGGCGAAAGCCCGAUCCAACAAUA